GGGGAUGUGGCUCAGUGGUACAGCUCUUGCCCUGCAUGCAUAAGGCCCUGGAAUCAAUUCUCAGUAUCUCCC
rnacentral:tRNA from 1 species